rnacentral:rRNA from 1 species
GGGUUGUGAGGUUAAGCGACUAAGCGUACACGGUGGAUGCCCUGGCAGUCAGAGGCGAUGAAGGACGUGCUAAUCUGCGAUAAGCGUCGGUAAGGUGAUAUGAACCGUUAUAACCGGCGAUUUCCGAAUGGGGAAACCCAGUGUGAUUCGUCACACUAUCAUUAACUGAAUCCAUAGGUUAAUGAGGCGAACCGGGGGAACUGAAACAUCUAAGUACCCCGAGGAAAAGAAAUCAACCGAGAUUCCCCCAGUAGCGGCGAGCGAACGGGGAGCAGCCCAGAGCCUGAAUCAGUGUGUGUGUUAGUGGAAGCGUCUGGAAAGGCGCGCGAUACAGGGUGACAGCCCCGUACACAAAAAUGCACAUGCUGUGAGCUCGAUGAGUAGGGCGGGACACGUGGUAUCCUGUCUGAAUAUGGGGGGACCAUCCUCCAAGGCUAAAUACUCCUGACUGACCGAUAGUGAACCAGUACCGUGAGGGAAAGGCGAAAAGAACCCCGGCGAGGGGAGUGAAAAAGAACCUGAAACCGUGUACGUACAAGCAGUGGGAGCACGCUUAGGCGUGUGACUGCGUACCUUUUGUAUAAUGGGUCAGCGACUUAUAUUCUGUAGCAAGGUUAACCGAAUAGGGGAGCCGAAGGGAAACCGAGUCUUAACUGGGCGUUAAGUUGCAGGGUAUAGACCCGAAACCCGGUGAUCUAGCCAUGGGCAGGUUGAAGGUUGGGUAACACUAACUGGAGGACCGAACCGACUAAUGUUGAAAAAUUAGCGGAUGACUUGUGGCUGGGGGUGAAAGGCCAAUCAAACCGGGAGAUAGCUGGUUCUCCCCGAAAGCUAUUUAGGUAGCGCCUCGUGAAUUCAUCUCCGGGGGUAGAGCACUGUUUCGGCAAGGGGGUCAUCCCGACUUACCAACCCGAUGCAAACUGCGAAUACCGGAGAAUGUUAUCACGGGAGACACACGGCGGGUGCUAACGUCCGUCGUGAAGAGGGAAACAACCCAGACCGCCAGCUAAGGUCCCAAAGUCAUGGUUAAGUGGGAAACGAUGUGGGAAGGCCCAGACAGCCAGGAUGUUGGCUUAGAAGCAGCCAUCAUUUAAAGAAAGCGUAAUAGCUCACUGGUCGAGUCGGCCUGCGCGGAAGAUGUAACGGGGCUAAACCAUGCACCGAAGCUGCGGCAGCGACACUAUGUGUUGUUGGGUAGGGGAGCGUUCUGUAAGCCUGUGAAGGUGUACUGUGAGGUAUGCUGGAGGUAUCAGAAGUGCGAAUGCUGACAUAAGUAACGAUAAAGCGGGUGAAAAGCCCGCUCGCCGGAAGACCAAGGGUUCCUGUCCAACGUUAAUCGGGGCAGGGUGAGUCGACCCCUAAGGCGAGGCCGAAAGGCGUAGUCGAUGGGAAACAGGUUAAUAUUCCUGUACUUGGUGUUACUGCGAAGGGGGGACGGAGAAGGCUAUGUUGGCCGGGCGACGGUUGUCCCGGUUUAAGCGUGUAGGCUGGUUUUCCAGGCAAAUCCGGAAAAUCAAGGCUGAGGCGUGAUGACGAGGCACUACGGUGCUGAAGCAACAAAUGCCCUGCUUCCAGGAAAAGCCUCUAAGCAUCAGGUAACAUCAAAUCGUACCCCAAACCGACACAGGUGGUCAGGUAGAGAAUACCAAGGCGCUUGAGAGAACUCGGGUGAAGGAACUAGGCAAAAUGGUGCCGUAACUUCGGGAGAAGGCACGCUGAUAUGUAGGUGAAGUCCCUCGCGGAUGGAGCUGAAAUCAGUCGAAGAUACCAGCUGGCUGCAACUGUUUAUUAAAAACACAGCACUGUGCAAACACGAAAGUGGACGUAUACGGUGUGACGCCUGCCCGGUGCCGGAAGGUUAAUUGAUGGGGUUAGCGCAAGCGAAGCUCUUGAUCGAAGCCCCGGUAAACGGCGGCCGUAACUAUAACGGUCCUAAGGUAGCGAAAUUCCUUGUCGGGUAAGUUCCGACCUGCACGAAUGGCGUAAUGAUGGCCAGGCUGUCUCCACCCGAGACUCAGUGAAAUUGAACUCGCUGUGAAGAUGCAGUGUACCCGCGGCAAGACGGAAAGACCCCGUGAACCUUUACUAUAGCUUGACACUGAACAUUGAGCCUUGAUGUGUAGGAUAGGUGGGAGGCUUUGAAGUGUGGACGCCAGUCUGCAUGGAGCCGACCUUGAAAUACCACCCUUUAAUGUUUGAUGUUCUAACGUUGACCCGUGAUCCGGGUUGCGGACAGUGUCUGGUGGGUAGUUUGACUGGGGCGGUCUCCUCCUAAAGAGUAACGGAGGAGCACGAAGGUUGGCUAAUCCUGGUCGGACAUCAGGAGGUUAGUGCAAUGGCAUAAGCCAGCUUGACUGCGAGCGUGACGGCGCGAGCAGGUGCGAAAGCAGGUCAUAGUGAUCCGGUGGUUCUGAAUGGAAGGGCCAUCGCUCAACGGAUAAAAGGUACUCCGGGGAUAACAGGCUGAUACCGCCCAAGAGUUCAUAUCGACGGCGGUGUUUGGCACCUCGAUGUCGGCUCAUCACAUCCUGGGGCUGAAGUAGGUCCCAAGGGUAUGGCUGUUCGCCAUUUAAAGUGGUACGCGAGCUGGGUUUAGAACGUCGUGAGACAGUUCGGUCCCUAUCUGCCGUGGGCGCUGGAGAACUGAGGGGGGCUGCUCCUAGUACGAGAGGACCGGAGUGGACGCAUCACUGGUGUUCGGGUUGUCAUGCCAAUGGCACUGCCCGGUAGCUAAAUGCGGAAGAGAUAAGUGCUGAAAGCAUCUAAGCACGAAACUUGCCCCGAGAUGAGUUCUCCCUGACUCCUUGAGAGUCCUGAAGGAACGUUGAAGACGACGACGUUGAUAGGCCGGGUGUGUAAGCGCAGCGAUGCGUUGAGCUAACCGGUACUAAUGAACCGUGAGGCUUAACCUUACAACGCCGAAGCUGUU